AGUGAACGCUGGCGGUAGGCCUAACACAUGCAAGUCGAACGGCAGCACAGUAAGAGCUUGCUCUUACGGGUGGCGAGUGGCGGACGGGUGAGGAAUACAUCGGACUCUACUUUUUCGUGGGGGAUAACGUAGGGAAACUUACGCUAAUACCGCAUACGACCUACGGGUGAAAGCAGGGGAUCUUCGGACCUUGCGCGAUUGAAUGAGCCGAUGUCGGAUUAGCUAGGUGGCGGGGUAAAGGCCCACCAAGGCGACGAUCCGUAGCUGGUCUGAGAGGAUGAUCAGCCACACUGGAACUGAGACACGGUCCAGACUCCUACGGGAGGCAGCAGUGGGGAAUAUUGGACAAUGGGCGCAAGCCUGAUCCAGCCAUACCGCGUGGGUGAAGAAGGCCUUCGGGUUGUAAAGCCCUUUUGUUGGGAAAGAAAAGCAGCAGGUUAAUACCCCGCUGUUCUGACGGUACCCAAAGAAUAAGCACCGGCUAACUUCGUG
rnacentral:rRNA from 1 species